GGUCACUGCUAUUGGGAUUCGGCUAAGCCACGCAAGCGGAGGGCGCGGUCGAAAGAUCGUGGCCCCGCACACUGCUCAGUAACACGUAGUCAACCUACCCUUGGGACGGGGACAACCUCGGGAAACUGAGGCUAAUACCCGAUAGGUGAGGGACGCUGGGAUGCCUCCUCGCCCAAAGCUCCGGCGCCCAAGGAUGGGACUGCGGUCUAUCCGGCUGUUGGUGGUGUAACGGACCACCAAACCUACGACGGGUACGGGCGAUGGGAGUCGGAGCCCGGAGAUGGGGACUGAGACAAGGCCCCAGGCCCUACGGGGCGCAGCAGGCGCGAAAACUCCGCAAUGCGCGCAAGCGUGACGGGGGGAUCCCAAGUGCCGUUGGCUUUUGAUCGACGGCUUUUCGGAAGUCCAAUAAGCUUCCGGAAUAAGGGCUGGGCAAGACUGGUGCCAGCCGCCGCGGUAACACCAGCAGCCCAAGUGGUGGCCGCGAUAUUGGGCCUAAAGCGCUCGUAGCCGGAUCAGCAAGUCCUUUGUGAAAUCGGGCCGCCCAACGGUUCGGCGUGCAAAGGAUACUGUUGGUCUUGAGGCCGGGAGAGGUCGGAGGUACUCCUGGGGUAGCGGUGAAAUGCUCUAAUCCUAGGGGGACCACCAGUGGCGAAGGCGUCCGACCAGAACGGACCUGACGGUGAGGGGCGAAGGCUAGGGGAGCGAACGGGAUUAGAUACCCCGGUAGUCCUAGCUGUAAAGCAUGCGGGCCAGGUGUCUAGCACUCCUUGAGGGCACUAGGUGCCGGAGGGAAGCCGUUAAGCCCGCCGCCUGGGAAGUACGGCCGCAAGGCUGAAACUUAAAGAAAUUGGCGGGGAGCACCACAAGGGGUGGAACCUGCGGUUCA
rnacentral:rRNA from 1 species